rnacentral:rRNA from 1 species
UGGCGGACGGGUGAGUAACGCGUGAGUAACCUGCCUUUCAGAGGGGGAUAACGUUCUGAAAAGAACGCUAAUACCGCAUAACAUCAAUUUAUCGCAUGAUAGGUUGAUCAAAGGAGCAAUCCGCUGGAAGAUGGACUCGCGUCCGAUUAGCCAGUUGGCGGGGUAACGGCCCACCAAAGCGACGAUCGGUAGCCGGACUGAGAGGUUGAACGGCCACAUUGGGACUGAGACACGGCCCAGACUCCUACGGGAGGCAGCAUG